rnacentral:rRNA from 1 species
GGCCUUGAGCCGUGGCUUUCGGAGCUAACGCGUUAAGUAGACCGCCUGGGGAGUACGGUCGCAAGAUUAAAACUCAAAUGAAUUGACGGGGGCCCGCACAAGCGGUGGAGCAUGUGGUUUAAUUCGAUGCAACGCGAAGAACCUUACCUACUCUUGACAUCCAGAGAAGCCAGCGGAGACGCAGGUGUGCCUUCGGGAGCUCUGAGACAGGUGCUGCAUGGCUGUCGUCAGCUCGUGUCGUGAGAUGUUGGGGUU